UCCUGACUGACCGAUAGUGAACCAGUACCGUGAGGGAAAGGCGAAAAGAACCCCGGCGAGGGGAGUGAAAAAGAACCUGAAACCGUGUACGUACAAGCAGUGGGAGCACGCUUAGGCGUGUGACUGCGUACCUUUUGUAUAAUGGGUCAGCGACUUAUAUUCUGUAGCAAGGUUAACCGAAUAGGGGAGCCGAAGGGAAACCGAGUCUUAACUGGGCGUUAAGUUGCAGGGUAUAGACCCGAAACCCGGUGAUCUAGCCAUGGGCAGGUUGAAGGUUGGGUAACACUAACUGGAGGACCGAACCGACUAAUGUUGAAAAAUUAGCGGAUGACUUGUGGCUGGGGGUGAAAGGCCAAUCAAACCGGGAGAUAGCUGGUUCUCCCCGAAAGCUAUUUAGGUAGCGCCUCGUGAAUUCAUCUCCGGGGGUAGAGCACUGUUUCGGCAAGGGGGUCAUCCCGACUUACCAACCCGAUGCAAACUGCGAAUACCGGAGAAUGUUAUCACGGGAGACACACGGCGGGUGCUAACGUCCGUCGUGAAGAGGGAAACAACCCAGACCGCCAGCUAAGGUCCCAAAGUCAUGGUUAAGUGGGAAACGAUGUGGGAAGGCCCAGACAGCCAGGAUGUUGGCUUAGAAGCAGCCAUCAUUUAAAGAAAGCGUAAUAGCUCACUGGUCGAGUCGGCCUGCGCGGAAGAUGUAACGGGGCUAAACCAUGCACCGAAGCUGCGGCAGCGACGCUUAUGCGUUGUUGGGUAGGGGAGCGUUCUGUAAGCCUGCGAAGGUGUGCUGUGAGGCAUGCUGG
rnacentral:rRNA from 1 species